CCCACCACAACCAUGAUUUGAGGCAUCUGACAGAGUAACUGCAAAUGGGUGCUCUAACAGGGGAAGGGGAACCCCAAGUUAGACUUCAGGGCCGGACUGGCCCACCGGGAUAGCGGGAAAUUUCAUGGUGGGCCAUGGCACCUGGGGCUGAUCAGACAGCCCUAAUCAUCAGGAUAAUGCCACCUAAAUGAUUUUCCCCUCGGAUUGUGCCAGCCUGUACCAGUCAGAGGGGAGUAAAGAG